rnacentral:rRNA from 1 species
GGGCCUGCACAAGCGGUGGAGUAUGUGGCUUAAUUCGAUGCAACGCGAAGAACCUUACCUGGCCUUGACAUGCAUCUCUAAGCGUGUGAAAGCACGUGACCCCUCGGGGAAUUUGCACAGGUGCUGCAUGGCUGUCGUCAGCUCGUGUCGUGAGAUGUUGGUUAAGUCCCGCAACGAGCGCAACCCUUGUGUCCUGUUGCCACUUCCGCUAGCGCGGAAAGCACUCUGGACAGACUGCCUCGUCUCAACGAGGAGGAAGGUGGGGAUGACGUCAAGUCAGUAUGGCCCUUACGGCCAGGGCUGCACACGUACUACAAUGGUGAGGACAGAGAGUUGCCAACCCGCGAGGUGGAGCA